rnacentral:rRNA from 1 species
UAGAGAGUAAAGUGUACAAGUUUCCGUAGUGAACUGCGAGAUCAUA